rnacentral:ribozyme from 1 species
UGCCCAGCAACUCCUAUCCCUACCUCCUCGCGGUACUGGCCGGGGUACGAAUAACCUUAGGGAAGAUCGGGUAACCAACCCCCGGUGGGAACUUUGGUCGUAUGCUGACAGGGAAGG